rnacentral:rRNA from 1 species
UGGGGAAUAUUGCACAAUGGGGGAAACCCUGAUGCAGCAACGCCGCGUGCGGGAUGACGCCCUUCGGGUUGUAAACCGCUUUCAGCCAUGACGAAGCUUUUGUGACGGUAGUGGCAGAAGAAGCACCGGCUAACUACGUGCCAGCAGCCGCGGUGAUACGUAGGGUGCGAGCGUUGUCCGGAAUUAUUGGGCGUAAAGAGCUUGUAGGCGGUUUGUCGCGUCGAAAGUGUAAACUCAGUGCUUAACGCUGAGUCUGCUUUCGAUACGGCUUGAGUAGGGGAAGGUAGGGGAUAAUGGAAUUCCCGGUGGAGCGGUGGAAUGCGCAGAUAACGGGGGGAACACCAGUGGCGAAGGCGGUGCUCUGGACCUUUCCUGAAGCUGAGAAGCGAAAGGGUGGGUAGCAAACAGG